GGAACAUGGCGGAAGAGUUUGGCUUUUUCUUCCUUGGAGUGAAAAGCAUUGGGCUUGACUCUUCUUGGUCCCGCUCCAAGACACCAGGACACGGAGGCAUCAUAAAUGAGAUUUCUCUCUGCUGCGUUAUGACCUCUUCUGAAGCAGCUGUCUGCCUCCUGCUUCGGGACUCUUCCAUUCCUUUUUUUUUUUAUGUUGGGGCAAGAGAAAGGAGAUGGUGGGAGCCGAAGAGCUCAUGUGGAAUUCAUCAAAGGAAACCUAUGAAUUAUUCACCCCAGAAAGAUGUCUUCCUAUGUCCAAUUGAUUCACCCCUUUGAGAGGCAGAUGGGAGAUUCUGUGGUUCCUCAUCGGUCUAACAGGAUUUUGAUUGUGCGGUAUGGAAAACAGCACAAAAAGUCAUUUGUGGACCUCCCAGAUCUGGAGGAUCUUGGUGGCCACACUCCUUGGCUUUAUUUCAUGCCCACAGAUGUUUGCUUGGGUUUCCACUAUUUGUGGCAUGUUGGUUCUCAAAACCCUAACUGGGCUUGACGUCACCUAAAAACCAGGAUGGACUCAGCAACCUGAGGCCCCUGUCUUGACUAGAGGCCAUCAAACCUGGUGAAAUCCAGGCACGCUAACACCACCACCACAUGCAUGUCCCCUCUUCAGUUCUGUGACCUUGUUUCUUCCCUACACACUAUUGGUGAGAGCCGGAGGACAAAUGCCCUGCUGAGAUUCAGCAGAUAUCCCCAGGGUAGCCUGGGUCAGUGAGGACAGAAGUUCCUUCCCAGAUUGUAUGCUCGAUGAGGGCUGGCACCAUGUCUGUUGAACUCUCUGCUAAAGCUGCAGCACCUCAAACAGCCCUGGCAGAGAGCCUGGAAACCAAUGUCCAGAUGGCAAAGUCUACACUGCAGUAGAAGGAAGGAAAUCCUUGAUCAGGAGUCAAGCUUCAAGGUGUUACGUAAUUAUAAUGACACGAAUAUGACAAGACAUUUUUUUUUUCAUUUACUGGAAUGCAAUAACAAUGAUUCUGAAUUAGCAUCCAUGCCCCUCCCCCCCAGCAAAUAUAUCAAUGGUCCAUAAACA
rnacentral:lncRNA from 9 species